GCGUGUGUGGCGGAAUUGGUAGACGCGCAAGCUUGAGGGGUUUGUGUUCAUUAGAACGUGCAGGUUCGACUCCUGUUACACGCAC
rnacentral:tRNA from 1 species